rnacentral:rRNA from 1 species
AACGAACGCUGGCGGCAGGCUUAACACAUGCAAGUCGAACGGGUGCAGCAAUGCAUCAGUGGCAGACGGGUGAGUAACACGUGGGAACCUUCCUAGGGGUACGGAACAACUCAGGGAAACUUGAGCUAAUACCGUAUACGUCCGUGAGGAGAGAGAUUUAUCGCCCUUAGACGGGCCCGCGUCGGAUUAGCUAGUUGGUGGGGUAAUGGCCUACCAAGGCGACGAUCCGUAGCUGAUCUUAGAGGAUGAUCAGCCACACUGGGACUGAGACACGGCCCAGACUCCUACGGGAGGCAGCAGUGGGGAAUCUUGGACAAUGGGCGCAAGCUUGAUCCAGCCAUGCCGCGUGAGUGAAGAAGGUCUUCGGAUUGUAGAGCUCUUUUGCCAGGGACGAUAAUGACGGUACCUGGAGAAUAAGCCCCGGCAAACUUCGUGCCAGCCGCCGCAGUAAUAC